AUAACACUGAGCUGCACCACCCAGGUAAACUAGUAUACUAACACUGAGCUGCACCACCCAGGUAAACUAGUACACUAUAACACUGAGCUGCACCACCCAGGUAAACUAGUAUACUAACACUGAGCUGCACCACCCAGGUAAACUAGUAUACUAACACUGAGCUGCACCACCCAGGUAAACUAGUACACUAUAACACUGAGCUGCACCACCCAGGUAAACUAGUACACUAUAACACCAUGCUGCACCACCCAGGUAAACUAGUACACUAUAACACCGAGCUGCACCACCCAGGUAAACUAGUACACUAUAACACCAUGC
ensembl:lncRNA